GUCCAGUCCCUGGAAGAUGAAGUUAGUUAGCAUUUGGUGCCCAGCCAGCAGCAAUGUGACUUAGGCUUUUCGUCCUAGUAGGAAUUUGACUCAUUGGGCCUGCAAAAGAUUUUCGUGACAAAUGAAAUAUUUUUCUAAACCAAGGACUUGGGGAUAACUUCAGGGUCAAAGACAUCUUAUCAUAUUUAAGAACAGCCACAGGAUGUCUAGGAGCCAGCAGAGGGGCCAGAUAUGCUGCAGUUUAUGCUGUAAAAGGAAGCCUGCCGCCGUGAGUGGUCCAGUGGGAGCUCUUGCUUUGUGUCCUCAGCCUUUCACCUUUCCAUCUGAUGACUUGCUCUGAAUCUUCACUUCCUGGGCAGAUGAGGAAACAUGAUGUUCAGAAAGGUAUAUGACUUGAUCAAGAACCCACAACCAGGCAAUGAGAGGAAUAUGAGGCAAAAUCCAAUCUACUUGAUUCCACAGAGCUCUGAGUAUAGAUGAGGCAAACUUCACAUGGAAAAGAAGCCAUAUUUUGAAAAAACUACACGGAAUCAAAGAGAACUAACUCAAAGAAGCAAAAUUUUGGAGAUAAAACAAGCACCAUUCAGAAUCUGGACAUAUAAUAUGUUUAUGGCAUUUAACCUAGUCAGACAGUAGAUAUUGCUCUAAGUCAUGGCCUACACCUGUGAGCCUACUUAUAUCAGCAUUUGCCAAAUGUACUUGUAGCUGUGGUACUGACCUCAGAGAACUUAGCCAAAGAGCAAAGACUGCCUAAUUCAAGAAGUACUGGCUGUACAGGAAGCAUAAUGCCAGCAUCUGUUUCUGGUGAGGCCUCAGGAAGCUUUUACUUAUGGUGGAAGGUGAAGGAGGAACAGGUGUCUCACAGGGCAAGAGGAGCAAGAGGGAGCAGAGAAGAUGUUCCAGGAUUACUUCAUGCUGUCCAGGUCCUAGACAUGGAAUCGUUUGCUUCUUCAAAAGUCUGGAUCCCUUUAAGAUACGAAAUGUAUUUAGAAACCAAAGUAUGGAUGCUAGGUGUGCUCAUGGCCAUUGGAGUGUGUUUCUAGACCCAGGAAUAAGCAAACAAUGGCCUGUAAACUAUAUCCUGUCUGUGGCCUGUUUUUGUACAUCCUAAGAACUAAAAAUUAUUUUAAAAAUUGUAAAUGGGAAAAAGUCAACAACAACAAACAAAUCAACAAAUAACCCCACAAAUAAACAGUUUCUUAAAGACCAGAAUGACCAAGAAAUCUAUGAAACAGAGACCGUAUACUGCCCAG
rnacentral:lncRNA from 1 species